rfam:Camelus ferus unplaced genomic scaffold scaffold1652, whole genome shotgun sequence.
GGUGAGUAGAGCUUAGUGGUAGAGCGCAUGCUUAGCAUGCACAGGGUCCUGGGUUCAAUCCCCAGUACCACCA